CUAUUAUUCCUGUAUAGGUUUUUCUUUCUUCUUUCUUUCUUUCUUUCUUUCUUUCUUUCUUCUUAUUUUUCCUCCCCUUUGAAGGGGAAAGUGGCCCACUUCCCACUGGCGAAAACUCAUGAAAUUUGGCAGGACGACCGGGCCUGGUGAAAAAUUCGAUAUUCUGAAGUCGCCCAAACAAUAAAAUGCAAAAUGGCUCCAUAGCGCCCCCUAAGGCGAAAAUUCACACUAUUGACUGUCACGCCUGUACGCUUUGUCAUAUUGACACAAAAAUUGACACACACGUGUAUCUCAAUACGGUCUACGAAAAAGUCAGCGCGGGCGCAUCUGUGAAAUGUACGGUUAGAGGGUUAUUUCGCAUUUUUUGCCGAUCUGCACACAUUGGAAUUUCGCUAACUCCUCCAAAGGCAUUCGUUCCACCGGCAACAAAUUUGCUCAGGCCAAUCUACACCCCAUGGCCAUUAAAAGUUGUACAAAUCAUGACGCUGCACCCCACGGUUUACGUUCUAGGGGGCGCCAAAGAUAACCCAAAAAUCCACAGUCUUAAAAGUCUUAUAACUUUUUAUUUUUGUCCUUACUGGCCUCCAAGUUCUCUAGGAUGAUGCAAUGUCCAGCCAUCAACACAUUUGUGAAGGAAUUUUUACUCCCCAAAAGAGCGCCCCCACAUGGCAGGAGAAAAAAGUCCAUUUUUUCUUGUCCCCUAAGGUGAAAAUACACAUUGUUGAGUGUCACGCCUAUACGCUUUGUCAUAUUGACCCAAAAUUUGACAAUCACGUGUAUCUCAAUAAGAUCUACGAAAAAGUCAAUGGGCACAAAUCUGUAAAAUGUACGGUUAAAGGGUUAUUUCGCAUUUUUUCCCGAUCCGCACACAUUGGAAUUUCGCUAACUCCUCCAAAGGCUUUAGUUCCACCGCCACCAAAUUUGCUCAGGCCAAUCUACACCCCAUGGCCAUUAAAAGUUGUACAAAUCAUGACGCUGCACUCCACGGUUUAGGUUCUAGGGGGCGCCAAAGAUAACCCAAAAAUCCACAUUCUUAAUAGUCUUAUAACUUUUUAUUUUUGUCCUCACUGGCCUCCAAGUUUUCUAGGAUGAUGCAAUGUCCAGCCAUCAACACAUUUGUAAAGGAAUUUUUACUCCUGAAAAGAGCGCCCCCCCAUGGCACGAGAAAAAAGUCCAUUUUUUCUUGUCCCCUAAGGUGAAAAAACACAUUGUUGACUGUCACGCCUAUACGCUUUGUCAAAAUGACACAAAAUUUGACACACACGUGUAUCUCAAUAAGAUCUACGAAAAAGUCAAUGGGCACGUAUCUGUAAAAUGUACGGUUAAAGGGCUAUUUCGCAUUUUUUGCCGAUUCGCACACAUUGCAAUGUGGCUAACUCCUCCUAAGGCUUUCUUCCCACCGACACCAAAUUUGCUCAAGCCGAUCUACAUCCCAUGGCCAUUCAAAGUUGUAAAAAUCAUGCCGCUGCACCCCAUGGUUUACGUUCUAGGGGGCGCCAAAGAUGACCCAAAUAUCCACAUUCUUAAAAGAAUCCCCCCCCCCCCCCCCCAAGGCAGGAGAAAAAGUCCAGUUAACCCUGCCCAUCGCUCAAUGGCUCAAUCGCAUCGCUCUCCUGGCAACACCGUAAGGAGGAGCAACUUGCCAUUUGGAUAUAUCCUAGCUGUGUUUGUGCCCUCACUCAUGGUCCAGACUUUUUUCAAAUAGGACAUGUAGUUUGUCUGCAGCGAGUGUUUUGGUAGAAACUGCGCCUCCCAUUCAUUAUAAUGGGAAAUGACCACAGACAAGUGCGCACACCAUCUUUGGACCUUGAGUGUGAUGCGAUCGGGAGGGGGAGGCGGUCGCGCUGGGGGCGGCGCGACGCGGCUCCGGCCCGACAGUGCCCCACCGGGGCCCUAGUUUGUUAUUAUUAUUAUUUUUCCUCCGCUUUAAACUGGAAAAUGGCCCACUUCCCACUGGCGAAAACUCAUGAAAUUUGGCAGGACGACCGGGCCUGGUGAAAAAUUCGAUAUUCUGAAGUCGCCCAAACAAUAAAAUGCAAAAUGGCUCCAUAGUGCCCCCUAAGGUGAAAAUUCACACUAUUGACUGUCACGCCUGUACGCUUUGUCAAAAUGACACCAAAAUUGAGACACACAUGUAUCUCAAUAAGAUCUACAAAAAAGUCAGUGCGGGCGUAUCUGUCAAAUGUACGGUUAAAGGGUUAUUUCGCAUUUUUUGCUGAUUCGCACACAUUGGAAUUUCGCUAACUCCUCCGAAGGCUUUCGUUCCACCGGCACCACAUUUGCUCAGGCCAAUCUACACCCCAUGGCCAUUAAUAGUUAUUCAAAUCAUGACGCUGCACCCCACGGUUUAGGUUCUAGGGGGCGCCAAAGAUAACCCUAAAAUCCACAUAUUUAAAAGUCUUAUAACUUUUUAUUUUUGUCCUCACUGGCCUCCAGGUUUUCUAGGAUGAUGCAAUGUCCAGCCAUCAACACAUUUGUGAAGGAAUUUUUACUCCCCAAAAGAGCGCCCCCCCAUGGCAGGAGAAAAAAGUCCAUUUUUUCUUGUCCCCUAAGGUGAAAAUACAAAUUGUUGAGUGUCACGCCUGUACGCUUUGGCAAAAUGACACAAAAAUUGACACACACAUGUAUCUCAAUAAGAUCUACGAAAAAGUCAAUGCGCGCGUAUCUGUCAAAUGUACGGUUAAAGGGUUAUUCCGCAUUUUUUGCCGAUCCGCACACAUUGGAAUGUGGCUAACUCCUCCUAAGGCUUUCGUUCCACCGGCACCACAUUUGCUCAGGCCAAUCUACACCCCAUGGCCAUUAAAAGUUGUACAAAUCAUGACGCUGCACCCCACGGUUUAGGUUCUAGGGGGCGCCAAAGAUAACCCAAAAAUCCACAGUCUUAAAAGUCUUAUAACUUUUUAUUUUUGUCCUCACUGGCCUCCAAGUUUUCUAGGAUAAUGCAAUGUUCAGCCAUCAACACAAUUGUGAAGGAAUUUUUACUCCCCAAAAGAGCGCCCCCCCCAUGGCCGGAGAAAAAGUCAAGUUGUUCCUGCCCAUCGCUCAAUGGCUUAAACGCAUCGCUCUCUCCGCAAAACCGAAAGGAGGAGCAAUUUGCCAUUCCGAUAUAUCUUAGCUGUGUUUGGGCCUUCACUCAUUUUCCAGACUUUUUUCAAAUAGGACAUGGAGUUUGUCUGCAGCGAGCGUUUUGGUAGAAACUGCGCCUCCCAUUCAUUAUAAUGGUAAAUAACCACAGACAAGUGCGCACACCAUCUUUGGACCUUGAGUGUGACGCGAUCGGGAGGGGUAGGCGGUCACGCUGGGGGCGGCGCGACACGGCUCGGGCCCGCCAGUGCCCCAACGGGGCCCUAGUUAGGGCCCGAGCGUAGCUGCUAAGCAGCUGCGAGAGCCCUAUUAUUCCCCAAGUGGUUUUUCUUUGUUUCUUUUUUCUUUUUCCUCCCCUUUGAACUGGAAAAUGGCCCACUUCCCACUGGCGAAAACUCAUGAAAUUUGGCAGGACGACCGGGCCUGGUGAAAAAUUUGAUAUUCCGAAGUCGCCCAAACAAGAAAAUGCAAAAUGGCUCCAUAGCGCCCCCUAAGGUGAAAAUUCACACUAUUGACUGUCACGCCUGUACGCUUUGUCAAAAUGACACAAAAAUUGACACACACAUGUAUCUCAAUAAGAUCUACGAAAAAGUCAGUGCGGGCGUAUCUGUCAAAUGUACGGUUAAAGGGUUAUUUCGCAUUUUUUGCCGAUCCGCACACAUUGGAAUUUCGCUAACUCCUCCGAAGGCUUUCGUUCCACCGGCACCACAUUUGCUCAGGCCAAUCUACACCCCAUGGCCAUUAAAAGUUAUUCAAAUCAUGACGCUGCACCCCACGGUUUAGGUUCUAGGGGGCGCCAAAGAUAACCCUAAAAUCCACAUAUUUAAAAGUCUUAUAACUUUUUAUUUUUGCCCUCACUGGCCUCCAAGUUUUCUAGGAUGAUGCAAUGUCCAGCCAUCAACACAUUUGUGAAGGAAUUUUUACUCCCCAAAAGAGCGCCCCCCCAUGGCAGGAGAAAAAAGUCCAUUUUUUCUUGUCCCCUAAGGUGAAAAUACACAUUGUUGAGUGUCACGCCUGUACGCUUUGUCAAAAUGACACAAAAAUUGACACACACAUGUAUCUCAAUAAGAUCUACAAAAAAGUCCUGAGCGCGUAUCUGUCAAAUGUACGGUUAAAGGGUUAUUUCGCAUUUUUUGCCGAUUCGCACACAUUGGAAUUUCGCUAACUCCUCCGAAGGCUUUCGUUCCACCGGCACCACAUUUGCUCAGGCCAAAUUACACCCCAUGGCCAUUAAAAGUUAUUCAAAUCAUGACGCUGCACCCCACGGUUUACGUUCUAGGGGGCGCCAAAGAUAACCCAAAAAUCCACAUUUUUAAAAGUCUUAUAACUUUUUAUUUUUGUCCUCACUGGCCUCCAAGUUUUCUAGGAUGAUGCAAUGUCCAGCCAUCAACACAUUUGUGAAGGAAUUUUUACUCCCUAAAAGAGCGCCCCCCCAUGGCAGGAGAAAAAAGUCCAUUUUUUCUUGUCCCCUAAGGUGAAAAUACACAUUGUUGACUGUCACGCCUGUACGCUUUGGCAAAAUGACACAAAAAUUGACAAUCAUGUGUAUCUCAAUUAGAUCCACGAAAAAGACAAAGAGCGCCUAUCUGUAUAAUGUACGGUAAAAGGGCUAUUUUGCAUUUUUUGCCGAUUCGCACACAUUGGAAUUUUGCUAACUCCUCCUAAGGCUUUCGUCCCACUGACACCAAAUUUGCUCAGGCCAAUCUACACUCCAUGGCCAUUCAAAGUUGUAAAAAUCAUGACGCUGCACCCCACGGUUUACGUUUUAGGGGGCGCCAAAGAUGACCCAAAUAUACAUUACAGUAGACAAAGUAGUUUUGCCCACUGAGUGGCGCCAAAGGGACUUGUCUGUGGAGUCUGUGGGUCACUAUUGGCCGUUUUUGACUACUUUAGAUUUUACCUUUAUAUUUCCUCUUACAAAAUUUUUACCUUGCCUUGCCUGGUAUCAUUUUUUUCAGCACAACCUCACCUGUGUCAAUUUACAGUUAUUUUAUCAUUUUGACAUACUAUAUUUACACAUUGGACCCAAAUUCACACACAAAACAUAAAAUCCGAGUGGAAAAAAGUAACGUUUUUACUGUGAAAACCACAAAUAUGUGUGAUGAACUGUUUUUAAAACUUAAACUUCAAAUAAAAAUUGUAAACUUCAAAACAUAUGCAAAUUUUUAACAAAGAACAUAGUAAUUUACCUCUAUUGACAUCAAAAUGCAGGCAAUGGCCCAGGUGUUCUUUGUAAAAUUAUUUACAAAACACUGUAUAGUCUCACAAAUGUCACUUUUUAUUUAUGCCACUACAAAAAAACAUGAUGUAAAUGAUGCAUGAUGUAAAACAUGAUGUAAAAAACUUGUGUAGAUCCUCCUCUAUGUUAGUCCAUGUGUAAUUUUUCCAUAAUUCUUUGUUUUUUGCAGCAUUUUUGUUAGUGUAACUGCAGAUUGUGCUGACAGUGUCUAUGGCAAAAAAAAAAAAAAAAAAAAACUGAAAAUGCCUCAACAUGAACCCCUGGUGGUCUCUGAGGGUGAAACCUGCUAACUGCUGCAGCUCUGUCAGCUUCAGUCUCCCAUGCAGAGCUCGGAGCGCAUGUGUGGCUCUGCACCCUUAGCAGCGUUGCUAACUCCUCAGUAAGGAAAGCCUGCUUCAUGUCAGAGUCUCUAAACUCCAGAAGAAGUCGAUAAAAGUCACUUUCUUUCUAAAAAAAGUCGUUAGGGGGUCUGAAAAGUCAUUGAAUCUAACAACAAAGUCGCUAGGUUUGCAACUACAUGUCCCAGACUGCAUCCCUGCUGAGAGUCCCUCUCUCCCUUCUCAUAUUGCAGGAAGAACGUAAGUUCCCGCCCCUUGUCAAUCAGUCACCAUAUAAUUUUGGAUUGGUUGUUGUGGUGAAGUUUUCCACCAAUAGGAGAGAUGUUGUGGUGUGUUUUUUUUUUCCUUUGGCAAGCCUUUUCCGCCUGUAAGACCUGUCGCUAAUGUCUGCAUGCUAUGUUUUCCUGUCUCAUACAGCGCGAUCGAGCGCCGAACGUGAUCAAAAUAAGCAGAAAACAAGUAUCGCGGACAUAAUUUAUCAUAACUCUGGUUUUAUUUGGCCUAUCAACACAAUUUAAAAACUGGUAUAUAUGUUGAGGUCCUCACUUUUGAGAUAAGUUGAAACGGAGAGUCAACGAGGCUCCGUCUUGCAGCUACAUCCGGUUAAAUAUGUCAUGUGACUUGAACGCACACACACACACACACACACACAGACACACACACACACGCACACACACACACUCAGAGUCUGGUUUUUAGCACCUGCAAAAACAUGCUAUUUACAUAUUUGACAAGAAUGCAGAGGCUCCUUUUGCCCCUGAAAAAAAUCAAAUUUCAAACACAACUUGACUGGUCAUUUCUCCAAAAGACAACCAUGAAGCUCCAUCCAAACCUGAAGCAGGCAGUUGGUGCAUGUGUACAGUAACCUGAGGGGAGUGAGGUGACUGCUUCUGAGGAGAACAUGAGCAGUGAAGAUUCACCUUAGAGCUAGAACAGAGACGUGCACAUGAUUAUACAGGGGCAGGGGCUCAAGUUUUUUCCAGUUGUUUAUACAAUAUGGAAAUUAAUGUGAAAUUAAAAAACAAAGUAUUAAUAGAAAGGUAAUGACUGUCCUGUGUAGGUGACAGUGAUAUCCAAUAGGCUAGGCACUCACGAGGCUGGCUGUGGCAAGUGUAAGUGAAAGCAACACGCACUGGCAGGAAGAACAGCAAACGCCGAUGAAGGAAAAGGGUCUUUGCAGUGAUGGGCGUUACCAGAGAAGGCGAUGGCCAGAGGACACAAAUGGGACGGGGAGGCAGCGCGUUGGGGGCGGGGACGCGACACAGCUCGGGCCCGCCAGUGCCCCAACGGGGUCCUAGUUAUUAGGGCCCGAGCGUAGCUGCUAAGCAGCUGCGAGAGCCCUAUUAUUCCUGAUGGAUUCUUCUUUAGGGCCCGAGCGUAGCUGCUAAGCAGCUGCGAGAGCCCUCUUGUUCCUGCAUGUUUCCUUCUUUCGUUAUUAUUUUUCCUCCGCUUCAAACUGGAAAAUGGCCCACUUCCCACUGGCGAAAACUCAGGAAAUUUGGCAGGACGACCGGGCCUGGUGAAAAAUUCGAUAUUCUGAAGUCGCCCAAACAAUAAAAUGCAAAAUGGCUCCAUAGCGCCCCCUAAGGUGAAAAUUCACAUGACGGCUGUAUGCUUUGUCAUAUUGACACAAAAAUUGACACACACAUGUAUCUCAAUAAGAUCUACAAAAAAGUCAGUGCGGGCGUAUCUGUCAAAUGUACGGUUAAUGGGUUAUUUUGCAUUUUUUGCAGAUCUGCACACAUUGGAAUUUCGCUAACUCCUCCGAAGGCUUUCGUUCGACCGGCACCACAUUUGCGCAGGCCAAUCUACCCCCCAUGGCCAUUAAAAGUUGUACAAAUCAUGACGCUGCACCCCACGGUUUACGUUCUAGGGGGCGCCAAAGAUAACCCAAAAAUCCACAUUCUUAAAAGUCUUAUAACUUUUUACUUUUGUCCUCACUGGCCUCCAAGUUUUCUAGGAUGAUGCAAUGUCCAGCCAUCAACACAUUUGUGAAGGAAUUUUUACUCCCCAAAAGAGCGCCCCCCAAUGGCAGGAGAAAAAGGUCCAUUUUUUCUUGUCUCCUAAGGUGAAAAUACACAUCAUCGAGUGUCACGCCAGUAUGCUUUGUCAUAUUGACACAAAAUUUGACAAUCACGUGUAUCUCAAUAAGAUCUAUGAAAAAGUCAAAGGGCGUGUAUCUGUCAAAUGUACGGUUAAAGGGCUAUUUUGCAUUUUUUGCCGAUCCGCACACAUUGGAAUUUCGCUAACUCCUCCGAAGGCUAUCUUUCCACCGGCACCAAAUUUGCUCAGGCCAAUCUACACCCCAUGGCCAUUCAAAGUUGUACAAAUCAUGACGCUGCACCCCACAGUUUACGUUCUAGGGGGCGCCAAAGAGGACCCAAAUAUCCACAUUUUUAAAAGUCUUAUAACUUUUUAUUUUUGUCCUCACUGGCCUCCAAGUUUUCUAGGAUGAUGCAAUGUCCAGCCAUCAACACAUUUGUGAAGGAAUUUUUUCUCCCCAAAAGAGCGCCCCCCCAUGGCAGGAGAAAAAGUCAAGUUUUUCCUGCCCAUCGCUCAAUGGCUCAAACGCAUCGCUCUCUCGGCAAAACCGAAAGGAGGAGCAACUUGCCAUUUGGAUAUAUACUAGCUGUGUUUGUGCCCUCACUCAUGGUCCAGACUUUUUUCAAAAAGGACAUGGAGUUUGUCUGAAGCGAGCGUUUUGGUAGAAACUGCGCCUCCCAUUCAUUAUAAUGGUAAAUGACCACAGACAAGUGCGCACACCAUCUUUGGACCUUGAGUGUGACGCGAUCGGGAGGGGUAGGCGGUCGCGCUGGGGGUGGCGCGACACGGCUCGGGCCCGCCAGUGCCCCAACGGGGCCCUAGUUCUUCUUCUUCUUAUUAUUAUUUUUCUGCCCCUUUGAACUGGAAAAUGGCCCACUUCCCACUGGUGAAAAGUCAUGAAAUUUGGCAGGACGACCGGGCCUGGUGAAAAAUUCGAUAUUCUGAAGUCGCCCAAAAAAUCAAAUGCAAAAUGGCUCCAUAGCGCCCCCUAAGGUGAAAAAUUCACAUGAUUGAGUGUCACGCCUGUACGCUUUGUCAAAAUGACACAAAAUUUGACACACACGUGUAUCUCAAUAAGAUCUACAAAAAAGUCAGUGCGGGCGUAUCUGUCAAAUGUACGGUUAAAGGGCUAUUUCGCAUUUUUUGCCGAUCCGCACACAUUGGAAUUUCGCUAACUCCUCCGAAGGCUUUCGUUCCACCGGCACCAAAUUUGCUCAGGCCAAUCUACACCCCAUGGCCAUUAAAAGUUGUACAAAUCAUGACGCUGCAUCCCACGGUUUACGUUCUAGGGGGCGCCAAAGAUAACCCAGAAAUCCACAUUCUUAAAAGUCGUAUAACUUUUUAUUUUUGUCCUCACUGGCCUCCAAGUUUUCUAGGAUGAUGCAAUGUCCAGCCAUCAACACAUUUGUGAAGGAAUUUUUACUCCCCAAAAGAGCGCCCCCCCCAUGGCAGGAGAAAAAAGUCCAUUUUUUCUUGUCCCCUAAGGUGAAAAUACACAUUGUUGAGUGUCACGCCUAUACGCUUUGUCAAAAUGACACAAAAAUUGACACACACAUGUAACUCAAUAAGAUCUACGAAAAAGUCAAUGCGCGCGUAUCUGUCAAAUGUACGGUUAAAGGGUUAUUCCGCAUUUUUUGCCGAUCCGCACACAUUGGAAUGUGGCUAACUCCUCCUAAGGCUUUCGUUCCACCGGCACCACAUUUGCUCAGGCCAAUCUACACCCCAUGGCCAUUAAAAGUUAUCAAAAUCAUGACGCUGCACCCCACGGUUUAGGUUCUAGGGGGCGCCAAAGACAACCCUAAAAUCCACAUAUUUAAAAGUCUUAUAACUUUUUAUUUUUGUCCUCACUGGCCUCCAAGUUUUCUAGGAUGAUGCAAUGUCCAGCCAUCAACACAUUUGUGAAGGAAUUUUUACUCCCCAAAAGAGCGCCCCCCCAUGGCAGGAGAAAAAAGUCCAUUUUUUCUUGUCACCUAAGGUGAAAAUACAUAUUGUUGAGAUUCACGCCUAUACGCUUUGUCAUAUUGACACAAAAUUUGACAAUCACGUGCCUUGCCUGGUAUCAUUUUUUUCAGCACAACCUCACCUGUGCGAAUUUACAGUUAUUUUAUCAUGUUGACAUACUGAAUUUACACAAUGGACCCAAAUUCACACACAAAACAUAAAAUCCGAGUGGAAAAAAGUAACAUUUUUACUGUGAAAACCACAAAUAUGUGUGAUGAACUGUUUUUAAAACUUAAACUUCAAAUAAAAAUUGUAAACUUCAAAACAUAUGCAAAUUUUUAACAAAGAACAUAGUGAUUUACCUCUAUUUACAUCAAAAUGCAGGCAAUGGCCCAGGCGUUCUUUGUAAAAUUAUUUACAAAACACUGUAUAGUCUCACAAAUGUCACUUUUUAUUUAUGCCACUACAAAAAAAAACAUGAUGUAAAUGAUGCAUGAUGUAAAACAUGAUGUAAAAAACUUGUGUAGAUCCUCCUCUAUGUCAGUCCAUGUGUAAUUUUUCCAUAAUUCUUUGUUUUUUGCAGCAUUUUUGUUAGUGUAACUGCAGAUUGUGCUGACAGUGUCUAUGGCACAAAAAAAAAAAAAAUUAAAAUGCCUCAACAUGAACCCCUGGUGGUCUCUGAGGGUGAAACCUGCUAACUGCUGCAGCUCUGUCAGCUUCAGUCUCCCAUGCAGAGCUCGGAGCGCAUGUGUGGCUCUGCACCCUUAGCAGCGUUGCUAACUCCUCAGUAAGGAAAGCCUGCUUCAUGUCAGAGUCUCUAAACUCCAGAAGAAGUCGAUAAAAGUCCCUUUCUUUCUAAAAAAAAAUCGUUAGGGGGUCUGAAAAGUCAUUGAAUCUAACAACAAAGUCGCUAGGUUUGCAACUACGUGUCCCAGACUGCAUCCCUGCUGAGAGUCCCUCCCUCCCUUCUCAUGUUGCAGGAAGAACGUAAGCGCCCGCCCCUUGUCAAUCAGUCACCAUAUAAUUUUGGAUUGGUUGUUGUGGUGAAGUUUUCCACCAAUAGGAGAGAUGUUGUGGUGUGUUUUUUUUUUCUUUUGGCAAGCCUUUUCCGCCUGUAAGAGCUGUCGCUAAUGUCUGCAUGCUAUGUUUUCCUGUCUCAUACAGCGCGAUCGAGCGCCGAACGUGAUCAAAAUAAGCAGAAAAAAAGUAUCGCGGACAUAAUUUAUCACUAGGGCCCCGAUGGGGCACUGUCGGGCCCGAGCCGCGUCGCGCCGCCCCCAGUGCGACCGCCUCCCCGUCCCGAUCGAGUCACACUCAAGAACCAAAGAUGGUGUGCGCACUUGUCUGUGGUCAUUUCCCAUUAUAAUGAAUGGGAGGCGCAGUUUCUACCAAAACACUCGCUGCAGACAAACUUCAUGUCCUAUUUGAAAAAAGUCUGGACCAUGAGUGAGGGCACAAACACAGCUAUGAUAUAUCGAAAUGCCAGGUUGCUCCUCCUUACGGUGUUGCCUGGAGAGCGAUGCGAUUGAGCCAUUGAGCGAUGGGCAGGAAAAACUUGACUUUUUCUCCUGCCAUAGGGGGGGGGAUGUGGAUUCUUUUAAGAAUGUGGAUUUUUGGGUCAUUUUUGGCGCCCCCUAGAACGUAAACCGUGGGGUGCAGCGUCAUGAUUUUUACAACUUUGAAUGGCCAUGGGGUGUAGAUUGGCCUGAGCAAAUUUGGUGUCAGAGGGACGAAAGCCUUAGGAGGAGUUAGCCACAUUCCAAUGUGUGCGAAUCGGCAAAAAAUGAAAAAUAGCCCUUAAACCGUACAUUUGACAGAUACGCGCGAAUUGACUUUUUUAUAGAUCUAAUUGAGAUACAUAGGUGUGUCAAUUUUUGUGUCAAUAUGAUAAAGCGUACAGGCGUGACAGUCAAUAGUGUGAAUUUCCACCUUAGGGGACAAGAAAAAAAUGACUUUUUUCUCCUGCCAUGGGGGGGCGCUCUUUUGGGGAGUAAAAAUUCCUUCACAAAUGUGUUGAUGGCUGGACAUUGCAUCAUCCUAGAAAACUUGGAGGCCAGUGAGGACAAAAAUAAAAAGUUAUAAGACUUUUAAAUAUGUGGAUUUUAGGGUUAUCUUUGGCGCCCCCUAGAACCUAAACCGUGGGAUGCAGCGUCAUGAUUUGAAUAACUUUUAAUGGCCAUGGGGUGUAGAUUGGCCUGAGCAAAUGUGGUGCCGGUGGAACGAAAGCCUUCGGAGGAGUUAGCGAAAUUCCAAUGUGUGCGGAUCGGCAAAAAAUGCAGAAUAACCCUUUAACCGUACAUUUGACAGAUACGCGCGCAUUGACUUUUUCGUAGAUCUUAUUGAGAUACAUGUGUGUGUCAAUUUUUGUGUCAUUUUGCCAAAGCGUACAGGUGUUACACUCAACAAUGUGUAUUUUCACCUUAGGGGACAAGAAAAAAUUGACUUUUUUCUCCUGCCAUGGGGGGGGCUCUUUUGGGGAGUAAAAAUUCCUUCACAAAUGUGUUGAUGGCUGGACAUUGCAUCAUCCUAGAAAACUUGGAGGCCAGUGAGGGCAAAAAUAAAAAGUUAUAAGACUUUUAAAUAUAUCGAUUUUAGGGUUAUUUUUGGCGCCCCCUAGAACCUAAACCGUGGGGUGCAGCGUCAUGAUUUGAAUAACUUUUAAUGGCCAUGGGGUGUAGAUUGGCCUGAGCAAAUGUGGUGCCGGUGGAACGAAAGCCUUCGGAGGAGUUAGCGAAAUUCCAAUGUGUGCGGAUCGGCAAAAAAUGCGAAAUAACCCUUUAACCGUACAUUUGACAGAUACGCCCGCACUGACUUUUUUGUAGAUCUUACUGAGAUACAUGUGUGUGUCAAUUUUUGUGUCAUUUUGACAAAGCGUACAGGCGUGACAGUGAAUAGUGUGAAUUUUCACCUUAGGGGGCGCUAUGGAGCCAUUUUGCAUUUUCUUGUUUGGGCGACUUCGGAAUAUCAAAUUUUUCACCAGGCCCGGUCGUCCUGCCAAAUUUCAUGAGUUUUCGCCAGUGGGAAGUGGGCCAUUUUCCAGUUCAAAGGGGAGGAAAAAUAAUAAUAAUAACAAACUAGGGCCCCGUUGGGGCACUGGCGGGCCCGAGCCGUGUCACGCCGCCCCCAGCGCGACCGCCUCCCCCACCCGAUCGCGUCACACUCAAGGUCCAAAGAUGGUGUGCGCACUUGUUUGUGGUCAUUUACCAUUAUAAUGAAUGGGAGGCGCAGUUUCUACCAAAACGCUUGCUGCAGAAAAACUCCAUGUCCUAUUUGAAAAAAGUCUGGACCAUGAGUGAGGGCACAAACACAGCUAAGAUAUAUCCAAAUGGCAAGUUGCUCCUCCUUUCGCUUUUGCCGAGAGAGCAGUGCGUUUGAGCCAUUGAAUGAUGAACAGGAAAAACUUGACUUUAUUCUCCUGCCAUGGGGGGCGCUCUUUUAAAGAGAAAAAACUCCUUCACAAAUGUGUUGAUGGCUGGACAUUGCAUCAUCCUAGAAAACAUGGAGGCCAGUGAGGACAAAAAUAAAAAGUUAUAAGACUUUUAAAUAUGUGGAUUUUAGGGUUAUAUUUGGCGCCCCCUAGAACCUAAACCGUGGGGUGCAGCGUCAUGAUUUGAAUAACUUUUAAUGGCCAUGGGGUGUAGAUUGGCCUGAGCAAAUGUGGUGCCGGUGGAACGAAAGCCUUCGGAGGAAUUAGCGAAAUUCCAAUGUGUGCGAAUCUGCAAAAAAUGCGAAAUAACCCUUUAACCGUACAUUUUACAGAUACGUGGCCAUUGACUUUUUCGAAGAUCUUAUGUAAAUACACGUGUAUGUAAAAUUUUGUGUCAAUACGACAAAACAUACAGGCGUAGCACUCAACAAUGUGUAUUUUCACCUUAGUGGACAAGAAAAAAUUGACUUUUUUCUCCUGCCAUGGGGGGCGCUCUUUUGCCGAGUAAAAAUUCCUUCACAAAUGUGUUGAUGGCUGGACAUUGCAUCAUCCUAGAAAACUUGGAGGCCAGUGGGGACAAAAAUAAAAAGUUAUAAGACUUUUAAAUAUGUGGAUUUUACGGUUAUCUUUGGCUCCCCCUAGAACCUAAACCGUGGGGUGCAGCGUCAUGAUUUGAAUAACUUUUAAUGGCCAUGGGGUGUAGAUUGGCCUGAGCAAAUGUGGUGCCGGUGGAACGAAAGCCUUCGGAGGAGUUAGCGAAAUUCCAAUGUGUGCGGAUCGGCAAAAAAUGCGGAAUAACCCUUUAACCGUACAUUUGACAGAUACGCGCGCAUUGACUUUUUCGUAGAUCUUAUUGAGAUACAUGUGUGUGUCAAUUUUUGUGUCAUUUUGCCAAAGCGUACAGGUGUUACACUCAACAAUGUGUAUUUUCACCUUAGGGGACAAGAAAAAAAUGGACUUUUUUCUCCUGCCAUGGGGGGGCGCUCUUUUGGGGAGUAAAAAUUCCUUCACAAAUGUGUUGAUGGCUGGACAUUGCAUCAUCCUAGAAAACUUGGAGGCCAGUGAGGGCAAAAAUAAAAAGUUAUAAGACUUUUAAAUAUGUGGAUCUUAGGGUUAUCUUUGGCGCCCCCUAGAACCUAAACCGUGGGGUGCAGCGUCAUGAUUUGAAUAACUUUUAAUGGCCAUGGGGUGUAGAUUGGCCUGAGCAAAUGUGGUGCCGGUGGAACGAAAGCCUUCGGAGGAGUUAGCGAAAUUCCAAUGUGUGCGGAUCGGCAAAAAAUGCGAAAUAACCCUUUAACCGUACAUUUGACAGAUACGCCCGCACUGACUUUUUUGUAGAUCUUAUUGAGAUACAUGUGUGUGUCAAUUUUUGUGUCAUUUUGACAAAGCGUACCGGCGUGACAGUGAAUAGUGUGAAUUUUCACCUUAGGGGGCGCUUUGGAGCCAUUUUGCAUUUUCUUGUUUGGGCGACUUCGGAAUAUCAAAUUUUUCACCAGGCCCGGUCAUCCUGCCAAAUUUCAUGAGUUUUCGCCAGUGGGAAGUGGGCCAUUUUCCAGUUCAAAGGGGAGGAAAAAUAAUAAUAACUAGGACCCCGUUGGGGCACUGGCGGGCCCGAGCUGUGUCGCGUCCCCCCCCCAACGCGCUGCCUCCCCGUCCCAUUUGUGUCCUCUGGCCAUCGCCCUCUCUGGUAACGCCCAUCACUGCAAAGACCCUUUUCCUUCAUCGGCGUUUGCUGUUCUUCCUGCCAGUGCGUGUUGCUUUCACUUACACUUGCCACAGCCAGCCCCUUGAGUGCCUAGCCUAUUGGAUAUCACUGUCACCUACUCAGGACAGUCAUUACCUUUCUAUUAAUACUUUGUUUUUUAAUUUCACAUUAAUUUCCAUAUUGUAUAAACAACUGGAAAAAACUUGAGCCCCUGCCCCUGUAUAAUCAUGUGCACGUCUCUGUUCUAGCUCUAAGGUGAAUCUUCACUGCUCAUGUUCUCCUCAGAAGCAGUCACCUCACUCCCCUCAGGUUACUGUACACAUGCACCAACUGCCUGCUUCAGGUUUGGAUGGAGCUUCAUGGUUGUCUUUUGGAGAAAUGACCAGUCAAGUUGUGUUUGAAAUUUGAUUUUUUUCAGGGGCAAAAGGAGCCUCUGCAUUCUUGUCAAAUAUGUAAAUAGCAUGUUUUUGCAGGUGCUAAAAACCAGACUCUGAGUGUGUGUGUGUGCGUGUGUGUGUGUGUCUGUGUGUGUGUGUGUGUGUGUGUGUGUGUGUGCGUUCAAGUCACAUGACAUAUUUAACCGGAUGUAGCUGCAAGACGGAGCCUCGUUGACUCCGUUUCAACUUAUCUCAAAAAUGAGGACCUCAACCUAUAUACCAGUUUUUAAAUUGUGUUGAUAGGCCAAAUAAAACCAGAGUUAUGAUAAAUUAUGUCCGCGAUACUUGUUUUCUGCUUAUUUUGAUCACGUUCGGCGCUCGAUCGCGCUGUAUGAGACAGGAAAACAUAGCAUGCAGACAUUAGCGACAGGUCUUACAGGCGGAAAAGGCUUGCCAAAGGAAAAAAAAAACACACCACAACAUCUCUCCUAUUGGUGGAAAACUUCACCACAACAACCAAUCCAAAAUUAUAUGGUGACUGAUUGACAAGGGGCGGGCGCUUACGUUCUUCCUGCAAUAUGAGAAGGGAGGGAGGGACUCUCAGCAGGGAUGCAGUCUGGGACACGUAGUUCCAAACCUAGCGACUUUGUUGUUAGAUUCAAUGACUUUUCAGACCCCCUAACGACUUUUUUUUUAGAAAGAAAGUGACUUUUAUCGACUUCUUCUGGAGUUUAGAGACUCUGACAUGAAGCAGGCUUUCCUUACUGAGGAGUUAGCAACGCUGCUAAGGGUGCAGAGCCACACAUGCGCUCCGAGCUCUGCAUGGGAGACUGAAGCUGACAGAGCUGCAGCAGUUAGCAGGUUUCACCCUCAGAGACCACCAGGGGUUCAUGUUGAGGCAUUUUCAGUUUUUUUUUUUUUUUUGCCAUAGACACUGUCAGCACAAUCUGCAGUUACACUAACAAAAAUGCUGCAAAAAACAAAGAAUUAUGGAAAAAUUACACAUGGACUAACAUAGAGGAGGAUCUACACAAGUUUUUUACAUCAUGUUUUACAUCAUGCAUCAUUUACAUCAUGUUUUUUUGUAGUGGCAUAAAUAAAAAGUGACAUUUGUGAGACUAUACAGUGUUUUGUAAAUAAUUUUACAAAGAACACCUGGGCCAUUGCCUGCAUUUUGAUGUAAAUAGAGGUAAAUUACUAUGUUCUUUGUUAAA